GGCGCUAUAGUGUAGUGGUUAUCACUCGAGAUUCUGAUCGUUUCUCAUCAUCACGUGAUGAGGGCUAAGCAUCUUCUCGAAACCCAGGUUCGAUCCCUGGUAGCGCCU